AGUUUGAUCCUGGCUCAGGAUGAACGCUAGCGGCAGGCUUAACACAUGCAAGUCGAGGGGUAUAUGUCUUCGGAUAUAGAGACCGGCGCACGGGUGCGUAACGCGUAUGCAAUCUACCUUUUACAGGGGAAUAGCCCAGAGAAAUUUGGAUUAAUGCCCCAUAGUAUAAUUGAAUGGCAUCAUUUAAUUAUUAAAGUCACAACGGUAAAAGAUGAGCAUGCGUCCCAUUAGUUAGUUGGUAAGGUAACGGCUUACCAAGACAAUGAUGGGUAGGGGUCCUGAGAGGGAGAUCCCCCACACUGGUACUGAGACACGGACCAGACUCCUACGGGAGGCAGCAGUGAGGAAUAUUGGACAAUGGGCGCAAGCCUGAUCCAGCCAUGCCGCGUGCAGGAAGACGGUCCUAUGGAUUGUAAACUGCUUUUAUACAGGAAGAAACACCUCUACGUGUAGAGACUUGACGGUACUGUAUGAAUAAGGACCGGCUAACUCCGUGCCAGCAGCCGCGGUAAUACGGAGGAUCCAAGCGUUAUCCGGAAUCAUUGGGUUUAAAGGGUCCGUAGGCGGCCUUAUAAGUCAGUGGUGAAAUCUCCUAGCUCAACUAGGAAACUGCCAUUGAUACUGUAAGACUUGAAUUUUUGUGAAGUAACUAGAAUAUGUAGUGUAGCGGUGAAAUGCUUAGAUAUUACAUGGAAUACCAAUUGCGAAGGCAGGUUACUAACAAACGAUUGACGCUGAUGGACGAAAGCGUGGGGAGCGAACAGGAUUAGAUACCCUGGUAGUCC
rnacentral:rRNA from 1 species